UACGAAGGUGGCAAGCGUUACCCGGAUUUAUUGGGCGUAAAGGGUCCGCAGACGGUUUGAAAAGUUCUUGGUCAAAUCUUGAGGCUUAACUUCAAGACUGCCAAGAAAACUCUCAGACUAGAGACCGGGAGAGGCAAGUAGAAUUGCUGGUGUAGUAGUAAAAUGCGUUGAUAUCAGCAGGAAUACCAAAAGCGAAGGCAGCUUGCUAGAACGGUUCUGACGUUCAGGGACGAAAGCGUGGGUAGCGAAUGGGG
rnacentral:rRNA from 1 species